AAUUUUGAAAAUAAAAAUUGUCAGUCAAAAUAAACCUUUCCUCCUUUCAUUUGUGUCAGAGAUUUUGCUCAAGCAAACAGAAAGUAAACUGAGACACUUGUGCUAGCACAAGCCUUACAGAUAGGUAAAAUAUGGAAGUGGUCCCUAUGCCCAUCAAAGACGAACAGACAAUGAAAAGGUGGUAAACGUACACAAGGAAUACUGCUGAACCAUGAGGAGAGAUGAACUGCAGACACUGAUGGCAAGGUGGAUGGCUACUGAGGUCAUAAUUAUAGGUAAAACAAUGAACUGCGGAGGUAUAAAUAUGACAGGGGGUUCUCCAAUAGGAGACACCCAAAGGAAAAAUAGUUUCGACAGCCAAAGAAAAGACAGACGGCUGGAAAUAGGGGAGGUAGAGUCCGAAGCGGCAAGGGAGGCCCAAGGACCAGGACGGGAGGGCGUGGUGGUGGGUCCGGGAGAGUACAAAGGAUCCAGAUGGGGUAUGGACAUGCUCCAAAUCCCCAAGGGUGAUGUCAUUCUCCUAUGCUGCAGACACACACUAACUAGGAAAGAGAAUGAGCCUGAAGAUCUCCCCAGGGGGCCCACUCAACUGGCCUCACCCAGGAAAGAGGGAACCCAGUGCUCCUCACCUGGGAAGCCCGGACUCCAGGCAGGCUCGGGGAACGCUGAGAAGUUGCACCAUGUGGAAAAGGUCAAAUAACUUUCAUCUACACUGUGUGCCAGGUAAUUGGUGGCACUGUCUCCGCCCUCCAGGUACCUGUAAGGAGAACAGCAUGGUAACCAGGAAGGACUGGCCUUCACAGCUAUCCCCUGGUCCACCCUGGACCCCUAAAGAGAGGCCACAGGACACACAGGGGGCAUUCUGGAGCAGUCAAGAGUUCCGUGGCAGGAGGAUCCCAGGAAAGGCCCAGCAGCCUGCACACAGCAGCAAAUUCCCAGGGUCCCUACUCAAAAGAUUUCCAUAAAGGGCCUGGAGGGGUACACACAGCUCAGUGUGAGCAGGUGUGUGGCACAUACACUGAGAAGCAUCCAGGUGCUCCAACAUCAGAGCACUGGGCUCCAUGUUACUUGCAGGGCACCUGGGAACAAAGGGACCUGAGGAACUGCUGAAGCCCAGUGAUCCCGGGUCUGCGGAGCCUGUCCUUUCCAUACUGCACUUGUGCAGGAUUUGCUUUUUGGUUUGGGGCCAAUGUGUGCUGUGGAAUCCCCACCACCAAACUAAGGCCAAACUGCACAAAGAGGGGGAGUGUCUCCUCGCUCAACGGCCUCCCACAGGAGAGUGUUGAGCUGCCCUGCCCUGAGUGCAGGGAAACCCGAGUGUAGUUCACUGUGGGCGACAGGGACUCCAGGUGACCAAUCCUGCAAAGUAAGGGGAGGUGCGAUCCAAGACAAAAACAAACUCUGAAAAGAGUUCACUUCCAGCUUGGCAGAACAGAUCAAGUAGGGAAACUGACCACUUCCCCGCUUUUCCCUGCACCUGAGAUCUCACAGGCCACCUCUGCCUCCACAGCCCGUGACCCUCACACUCACCAGGCGGAAACGGACUCCCACGCCACUUCCUCUUGGUUCCAGGUGUAUUCAGGUCCUGCAAACACAAACACACAUAGCACACAUACAACAGUCAUGACCUGAACUCACCUCAAGACCCAGUACAAACCCCGGAGCCAAUGGAAGUGAAUGAAUGGCUCUCUCAGUGAGACAACAGGACACCCGGGGGGAACAUCCUCGGGAGACUCAGACUGUCUCCUAAGGAAUGGGAAGACUUCCUCACUUCCCUCCCUGGGCAGACCAUGAGAGACAGAAUGGUACCAAUGCACGCACACAGACAGCUGGACACAGGGAACAGAAUAGAGGGUGCAGAAACAACCCCAAAAACCUUCAGCCACUGGAUCUUGGGCAAAGGAGCCAAUAACCUAGGCUGGAGAAAACACAGGCCAUGGAAAAAGGGCGCUGGGAAAACUGGUGGUCCACGUGCGCAAGAUCGACUCUGCCCAUCUCUCUCACCCUGUGCUGAAAGCAAACGCCAGUGGAUCAUACAUCUGGGCAUAAAAACACAAACUCUGGGAGAAGAUAUAGCGUAGCCAUGGACGUCCUCAGCAGAAUGCCCACUGUAUAACAAUAACAAGC
ensembl:lncRNA